GGCACGGGUGGGCCAGGGGUGAGCGGCUGCAGCCCUGGCCUGCCCUGCCGUAAAAGGCACUGGUGCACAGCCCAGCCAACUGGGGAAACAGAGCAAGAAAUAGCACAGGGACGAUGGCGGAUGAGCAGAAAUAGAAGGAAGGCAGGGACUUACCAGCUGGCUGUAGGCAGAAGUUGCUUACAGCAAGGACAACAGGCUGAGCACACAGAGCAUCUUCUUCCCAGCUCCAGUUAUGUUGGAUUUCAUCAGCAUGCUCACGCAUCUACUGCAGGAGGAAAAUUGGAUCCCAGGAUUUUUGCUAAACAACCUAAUGGACAGCAGGAGACACGGGGCUGCAGAUGACAGCAGUCACCACAACCACCACUUCAACUGCUGGAAAAUUACACGUCCCAGCUCCCUCAGAGUGCCAGGGCACAGCUAGGCUUUCCUUGCCCAGCUUCCUCUUAGCACCUUGGAAGAAGCAUGACUCCUUCCAGUUUUGAUGGGCUUUUAUGAGAUAUGGUGGACUUCUGCCACACACUUCAUGCUCAAUUAAACUAGUGCAAAGCAAAUACAAAA